AUUGAACGCUGGCGGCAGGCUUAACACAUGCAAGUCGAGCGAGCGGCGGACGGGUGAGUAACGUCUGGGAAACUGCCUGAUGGAGGGGGAUAACUACUGGAAACGGUAGCUAAUACCGCAUACCAUCAGAUGUGCCCAGAUGGGAGUAGCUAGUUGGUGGGGUAAUGGCUCACCUAGGCGACGAUCCCUGGCUGGUCUGAGAGGAUGACCAGCCACACUGGAACUGAGGCACGGUCCAGACUCCUACGAGAGGCAGCAGUGGGAAAUAUUGCGGAAUGGGCGCAAGCCGGGUGCAGCCAUGCCGCGUGUGUGAAGAAGGCCUUCGGGUUGUAAAGCACUUUCAGCGAGGAGGCGUUACUCGCAGAAGAAGCACCGGCUAACUCCGUGCCAGCAGCCGCGGUAAUUC
rnacentral:rRNA from 1 species